rnacentral:misc_RNA from 1 species
CUGACAUGAAAACUUGACGUGCUUUGUUUUGUCCCUGUGUGGGAUGACUGUUAAGGACACUGGUGAAAGCGCUGCAUCCAGGCACAUGGCAAAAAGACAAAAGACUGACACUGUUGCAAAAGAUGUUCAAGACCCUGGUGGGGCGAGAUAUAACACCCCGUCGGAACUCAUGAUUGGCGUAAUAGGAGCUGCUACACGUACACCAGACAUGAAUAUAGUUGACUUUAGCGAUGAUACUUCCGAUAUUGAAAUAACACCGGGAUCAAAGCCUCUUUCUGACUCCGAUGUUCCCUCGAGACCUGAAAAAGUAAAAAGGAAAAAACACACGAAAGGAGAACAUUCAAAGAAACAUCCAAAAGAUGAUGAAAAGUCUCAGAACAAAGGCGGACAAAGUGACUCUACAAAUAUCAAUGCUAAUGCUAAAAGCUGACACAAUAAUAAAUGAUGCAAUAUAUCAAAUUUUUGUAUUGACUAUGAUCUCAUCCAGUGUAUUGUAUAUAUUGUACCAUAGUGAUUUGUCAUAAGCUGCUUUAAGUCAUUUGCAGACAACAUACUGCCCGCAUCACAGUACAUUAUAUCUAUGCAAAUGCGUUAGGAUUUACAUGUAUAUGACAGGUUCUCAUUUCAAAAAUAAUAACACUGUUAUUAUUUUUAUUUAUAGACUUUGUCAAAUAUAUGUCCAAUGCGUUUGCAUAAUCAUAGCGUACUUUAAUCAAAAUACUAGAUUUUCACAGACCGAUCAUCGAAGAGUAUUUUCUAGACGAGUUUUAAAUGCUAAAAGAAUUGAACCUUUAUGUAUAUAUUUUUUGUUAAUGCAUCUGGCAUAUUGGUUAAACAUUCCAAAUCGUUGUCUUAUAUGUACUUUUUGUGAGUAAAGGGAGACAACACUUAUACCUGAAAUUGAACUAGUUAGAUAUUAAGACGGUUGAUAAAACUUUUCAAUUAAAAAGUUUAUGUUUAAGUGUUCAUUUUAUUUUGCUUUUGAAAUAUCCUGUACAUGUCAUUUGAAGAGUUUAGACAUGCCUACAGAUUAUCAUAUACAUGUAACUGAAAUUUAUGUCAACAUGCAAGUUUAUUUUCUUUAUUCAUACAUAAGACAUAUGUACCGAUAUUUUCUCUUUAAUACAGUUAAUGCUACAAAUGUAAUACAUUUAUUAAUAUAUCAACAGAUCAUUUUAAUAGAAGUUGUUCAUUUAUUUCUAACUCAACAAAGGGAAAGCAGCAUGAGCAGUGAAUUAUUUGCUAGCAUUUGCAACCUUAAAUCUUGUUUAUUUCUUACAACAUUUGUUUGAGUCCUAGUUUUAUUUUACAUCUGUCAUAUAUAAGAUUGUUCGACCAGAUUUGAGCAUACAGGAUAUGAUUUAAUGUUCAGCUUUAUUUCAAUAUUAUGAACGUACAACAAUAGUUCAAGAUAAAUCUCUUCUUUUGUAUUUAUGGUUUUACUUAAUGGAUGUAACAUUGAUUUUUAAACGCGCUAUAUGAAAAAAUAGAUUUUGUAUUGUCAGCAAUAAUUAUACUUCUUUAAGUGUUGGGGGGAAAGUAGGAUCAAUGUUAAAGGUGUUUUUACAUUUUACUCAUUAUUGUUUCAAAGUUUAUCGUUACAGGAAUAUAGGAAUGUUUUAUCUAUCUGUUGAAAGAUACAAAACACACUGAAAUUCAAAAUCAUUUAUAUAUCGGAAUCAUGCAUAAUGCCCUAAAGCUUAUUGUAGUAGUAAAAGCACGGACUAUAUCAGUGACGGAAAGAUCAUUUGACAUUACCGGCCAUCGAGUGUAGCAGUUCUUGUAGAGCAAAAGAUAUAUCUAUAUUUUUAUAUGUUUUCUGUAGCUGAAUAUUUCAUCUUUUUGUUUAAUAACAUUUUGUGGUUCGUUUAUAUAAACGUUCAUAACAACAGAGAUCUGAAAAAUAUUCAAUCGUUCAGUUUUGAGGUUUCAAUUGUACACAACUCUAUGUUUUAGAUAUACCAUCUGUUUAAAGAUUAUAUGUGAUGGGUUGUCUUGAUUGUAGAUGUGUAUUGUCACAAGAAGUAAAGAAACAAUUCUACAUUUAAAAUUAUCUUAAAUAUAGAAAUAAAUGGAAGGAACGGUGAUAAUUCAAAAACAAAAGAAAACAUUCUAUAGUUAAAUAUUAAACUUACAUACAUAUUUAUCUGAACAUUUAAUAAAGAUGUUACUUUUUGACCGGUGUAUAUAAUUAAAUUAUGAAGAGUUCAUAUAUAAAAUAUAAGACAUAAAAUUAUGUCAAUGACAAAAUUUAUUUACUAAACAUGAUGUUGCAAUGUAGAGUUUGAUUUAAAAUGCGUGUCAUAGUUAUUCUUUGAGGGAAAAGCAAUACAAAACAGUAUGUAAACUUUUGUUAAGAAUUUACAUGUGGAGUAAAUAUAUCUGGAAAAAUAAUUAAUGAAUAUUUUCUUGCUAAUUGUAUUAAAAUAUUCAAAGUGUGUAAAGGGAAACAAUUCAAACAAAAUAUAUUAUACCUUAGAUUGCAAUAAGACUUAAUUGAUCAAAUAUUUAUAUCGCUCUAAACCAGCUUUGUUUUUUUCUUUUAUAGAAUAGUUUGUGACACAAUGUAUAUCGACAAAGGGAAAUAACACAGAAGCAAUUUUGUAUACCUAAAUAUAUUGCAAACACUAGUGAAGAUUUGUUUUCUAUGCUGUAGAUUUGAUUACACUGUCUGGAUGUUUCGCGACAAGUUUGUAAAAAAGGAACGGAAAUAAUACAAUCUGAAACACUUAUACGUCAUAUUUUCGACUUUAUUUACAAUUAUGUAUAAAUACUGACUAAAUAUAUUGUUAUUUCUAUAUCUAAAGCUCUCUAUGACAUUAUUAUGCAAAACACAUACCACACAGACAACACAAUAUAAACCAAAUAGCUGUAAACGCUUCAGUAAGUAGAUAAGUAUUGAGUUACAAUCCAUACAACUGAAGGUAAACAAAACAGAGAGUUCAUGGUUUGUAUAAUUAGUUAAAAAUUUAAUGCUUCACUUAGCUCAAGGUUUAAACAUUGUAAACAUGUGUAUGUUUUUUUUUACGAUUAUUGCUUUAAAAAACUAUGAUAAGCACUUUAAACAUUAACAUCAUUGUAAAUAUGAUUUUAAUUCUUGAAUCUUUAAACAUAUAUGCAUAUGUAUACAUAUUAAUUUGUUUCUGGUUAAAGGGAAGCAACACACACUGUAGUUUGCAUCCCAGAUACCUAGAUCUGGUGCAUAUUGUUAUAAUCGUAUGUAUUUUGUAUGUGAAUUAAAUGCUUUCUCUGUAUAAGGGUAUGAUUUAAAAUUCAACAAGCGAUUGUCUUAAUGACCGGAAAAACAGUAGUUAUGUAUCUGGUUUAUCUGUGAGGUGUUGAAUUAAAUCACGUUUUAACCAUAGUCUCAUUUUAAUCUUGCGAUUAUCAGCAUAUAUUUUUCAAAAUCCGUUUUCAAAUUCAGGGUUUUCUUUUCCUUCAUAAGAGGGGCCGUUAAUAGGCCCCUUGCCCUCAAAAUCAUUCUUUAAAAUCAUGCAUUUUUCCCCAAAAUUGACAACAUCAGGUUAUUUAUUCCCCUUUACCCAAAUAUCAAGCUAUUUUGCAAUCAAAUCACAGGCCUGGGCCCUUCCCUUUCUGAUAAAAAACCCUGAUAUUAAUAACUGCUAUUAUACCUACUGAUAUAUGCAAUGUAAUUUUAUGUUAUUAUUUUCCGCUUGUGAUUUUAUUCAUUUCACGCUGUAUUAUUAUGUUUAGGUAGCGCAUUGUAAGAUGUGGUUAUGUUAAUAGUAGUGUUUACAAAAGCGCUUUAACGCUGAUAUUCAAAUUACGACUAUGUCGUCAGUAUUCAGAUUUACAUACUUUAAUGAUGUAUAUGACACAUCUAAAAUCAAUGUUAUUUUGUUGUUAUUCAAAAUUAUAUGUCGCUUUGUUUACUUAACUUUUGCUUAAGUAUGUUUAAAUUUCUUCACUGAAAAUGAAUAUCCAACGUUUAUGUUAUGUACGUGUUUUUCCAGACUAACUUUUAUUUCUUUAUAUGGUUUUAUGUCAUGUUAUCAGACCUGAAAACACUUACAGUUCAUAAACAUUAGAUGUGCCGUACAGAUAGAGUAAUAUUAAUAGCGCUAUUCUAUUUGAAAUGUAGUGUUUUUCUUCCCUAUCUAUCAUGACACGAAAAUCUUGUAAACUAAUCUGCUUAACAUCAAAAACUUAUACAGGGAUAAAUAUGUAAUUAUUUUGGUGCUGCUACUUGUUUUCUUUUUUUCAGACCAAAAUAAUAAACACACCAUUUUGAUAACACCAGACACCAAAAACAAACAUGUUUUUAUUCAGUUUUGCUUAUAAUAGUGUAAGAAAAUGAAAAAGGUCUAAAAGCAUAGCAAAACACAACCUCAACUGCACACAUAUGAAUUGUAGAAAACAUUUAUUACAAAGACAAUGUACGAUCUUACAUAUCUAAUAUCUUAUACAUGUGUUUGUAUUUGAAGUAAAAUCUGAUUGUCUUAAACACGGGUAUUGGUCUCAUUCAUGAUUAAGAUUAAUUAAACUUGAGAUAUGUAAUUGUAGAUACUCACUCCCAGAUAAAUAUUAUGCAAUCAUUGUAAAAUAUUUUAACUUCUAUUGCUAACAUUUACGUUGUAAACGGUCAAAGGGAAGCAACACUGAUAAAAAUUUGAAUACCGUUAUUUUUGCAGAUGUUGCACAUGUAUACUAAGAAUGUGUUCAAUGUGCUUGCGCACGUAGGUGAGUGCAAGCGUUCGUGCGAGUAUUUGCGUGCGUAAUGCCUGUGUGCGUGCGUGUGUCACAUCUAUCAGUUGCAAAUUUGAUUUUCACAUUACAUACUUUACAUAAAUUGUUAUUGUUUAGCCUAUCUUUGUAAAUGUUGAUUUUUAUGCUGAACACUAAAAACGGAAUAAGAUGUUAUUGUUCGAUUAUUAUUUCAGUCUAAUUGGGAUAUAUUUCUAUUUGAUCGGGCUACAGUUUAUUUAGAUAUGUUGGAUGUUUUCUGCAAAUACAAAAUGGAUAUGAGCAGAAAAUGUCCUUUGCCUGGUUUUAUUGUUCCCAUCGAGUGCAACAGAUCUUGUAGAGCUAAAUCUAAGCUUAUUGUAUUUGAUGUAUCAUUUUCAAAAAUACUUUUUCUAACUAUUUUGCGAAAUUAUUAGUCGCUUUGUGUUAAGUUAUACUCUAGAUAUGUCCAAUAAAGUGAGUAGUCAUUUUGACAUACGAGUAUUUUGUUAGUUCUUGACACAUGCAUGUAAUUCACACAUGAUUAACCCUGUAUAAAAUUGUCUUUGUUUUGGUUUUGAAGUAUUUAUAUAAUACCAUCGCUUUUGCAUAAUUUACUGCAUUUUGCUUUGUUGUAUAAAUUUAUGAAUUGUGAUAAUAUAUUGAUUUUCUGUGAGCCAAUUUCUCAAUCUAUAAAUAAAAAGUCUUUUUAAAAUAUUAUGAAGCUUUUGUCUCAUUUAUGAUAAUACGACCGUUAUACGUAUAUUAGAAACUUGAUGUCGAAACAUCAACGUUUCGUUAGGAUAUGUUGAAUGAAUGUAAAUUAUUUAAUACUCUCAUUUAAUAAAAAGGUAAUAGUAAUACAUACAUAAAUAUAAGUAAUUUUCAUUAUCAAUAUUUGAUUAUCAUAAAUUCAAUUAUUAAAUAAAAGCAAUAAUUAUAAUGGUUAUGUGUAAGUAUAUACCUAUGAUCUAAGCGCUGUCACAGAUCUCACUUUUCCAGUUAGUUUAUAAAGCAUAAUGCUUUACCGAAGUAAGAGUAUGUAUCAUUUUGAAAGUUUUCAUAGGUCUUACAAUUUGCCUUUGUUUAAAAUGACAAGGUAAACAGGAGUAUUUAGCCUUUGUGUUCUUCACGACUUUAAUGAACGAUUCAAGAAACAAAUUCGAAACUAUUGGAGACAUACACCCCCCAGAACAGACGGAGAUUAAGUUUAGGCAUAGACAUGUCAUGGUAGCGUAGCCAAGUUGUUUUAAAUUGAAAGUCUGGUUCUUGAAAGAAUUGGGUUUGCUUCUGGUAGACAAUACUAUAUGUGUGAAAUAACAUUAAAUUUUAGAACGCUGAGCACACUGCUCUCUAAUAGACCAUGAAACCUCGCUAUUUUUUCUUUGUACAUACGUUAAAACCGAGGUUAUGCUAAAUGACUUAACAACAUAAUAAUUGCUUGUGUUAUCAUUAUUCCUUUCCUUCUUCUUAUGUACACGACUUGUAAUUCAUUUUGGUCUUAAAUUCAUUUUUUCAUUCAUGCCUCUUGGUCAAACAUGUACCACUUAUUUGAAAUCUAUAGAGCAACCUCAAUUUACACUCACUUACAGCUGGUGUUGUUUACAAAUAUUCUCACUCCAUAUAUACAUGUGUAUAUGUAAGCGUCAUAAGUGCCGGAAUAACUGUUAAGCGAAUCGACGCGGGUUAAACUUCAGCUUCAGACUAAACACAAAUGAUACGGCGAUGAAAUGUAAUACUAACUUCCUAUUAGAGGUGACAUAGUGAUUGUUUAACAGAUCACAUGCUUAAAUAGAUAAGACAUAAUGAAAAUAAGUCUGGGCAGAUCAGUGAUUUUGCUUGUUCUGUGGAGGCUAGCAUUACAUUUUGUUAGAUGAUCUGUACUUUAGACAGCCAUUCAUUGCCCAAAAUGCUGCAAAGUAUUGUGUAAGUUAAGUUGCAGUAUAUCUCCAUAUCUUUCAAUGACGUUUGACUAAGAAGGAAAAACCGUUCUUUAUUUAUUAAACGAAACAGUGACAAUAGCACCAUAAAAGCCAUUUCCUUCUUUUGCUAUUUUCGUUCACUAGAUUUUUCAGUGUAAUAUAUAAUAAUGAUUGACGCUUAAUAAUUAUCAACUGUUUUCUGAAGCAAACGUUGACGCUUUGAAUAAGGUUGCGCCAGUGGUCUUUGUAUCGAAGUGUCACUGUAUACGUACAUGCAAUAAAUUGCAAAUCUUUAAAAGCCAUGUAUUUUGCAUAUUUUCUGAAUACAGAUUAUUGCAACCGACAUACUUGUUUAGACAUAUUUUAUGUUGACUUCCUUGUUAAGAUAGCGGAAGAAAAAUAAACUGGGAAAAAAUAUAAGAAAAGGAACAAUUCCGUACCAAAGACUUUAAAGGUCAUUGAUUGUCGAUUUUUGAAAAAGUAUGGUACUUACGACUAUAUAUAUAUGUCUAUAACAAACACUCUUAUCUACAAAGCCGUAAAUUACAAACAUAUCGUGUGACCCUACAAUAUUACAAAACACGUUGAUUUAUUUAUGUUUUGUGUUGGUUACAGCGCAUGCGCGUAUGAAAUGUGCGUAACAAGCACAAAUACUACUUGCUUAGUAGUGGGAACCUAAAUGUCUGGAUAUGCUUUUCACUGAGAUGACUGUUUAAGACGGGGAAAAUACUGCGUCUAGGCACAUGGCAAAAAGACCAAAAACUGAUGCAAAAGAUGUUCAAGACCCGAAAAGAACAACAAAUGCCACCACGUCGGAACUCAUAAUUGGCAUAAUAGGAGCUGCUACACGAACACCAGACAUGAAUAAAGUUGACAUUAGCGAUGAUAUUUCCGAAAUAACACCAGGAUCAAAGCUUCUUUCUGACUCCGAUGUCCCUCCAAGACUUGAAAAAGUUAAAAAGAAAAUGAAAAGGCACACGAAAGAAGAACAUUCAAAGAAACAUCCAGCAGAUGAUGAAAUGUCUAAGAAAAAAGACGUUAAAAGUGACGACAGAGAUACCGAUGUUGAAGCUAAAAGCUGACAGAAUAAUAAAUGCUCCAUAGUAUCAAACCUUUAUAUUAACUAUGAUCUCAAUUAGGUGAUUAUAUUUAUGUAUCAUAGUGACUGAAGCUGACUAAGAUAAAAAAGGACAAAUAUCUUGCUGCUUCAAGCCAUUUGCAUACAACAUAUUGACCACAUCACGUUACAUUUCACUUAAGUAAAUGCAAUGUGUAUUACAUAUAUCUGAUAGGUUCUUACUUGAACAAUAAUAACAUUGUUAUUAGUUUCAGUUACAAAUCUUAUCAAAUUCAAUUCCAAUGCAUUUUAUAUAUUUUUAAUAAUAGUUUACCUCAAUACAGGUAUUAGAUUUUGGCAGAACGGACAUUAAAAUAUAUUCUAGGGAAUUAUAAAUCCCAAAGGAAUUGAACCUUAUCGUAUACACUACGUUGUUCAUGAUUCUGACACAUUUGUUCAUACUCCAUGUGUUUAUUUGUCAUUUUUGUGACUAAAGGGAGACAAUAAUUUUAGCCGAAAAUGAACUGGUAUAUGACUAUAUUUCACUUUAUAUGUUUAAAAAAGCCACUUUUUAGUGGUAGUACACGUCUAUGCUAUGUUUAUCUAUACAUGUACACCGUGUGUGCUAUUCUGAACCUACUGCAUAGUACAGGUAAUACUCAUAAACUUGUUAAUUUUAUGUUUACACAAAGUAUAUGAAGUAUCUGUUUAUGUUUUAUAUGUGUAAUUUGGAUCAUAUAUACCUUUGAAUGUUAUAUGUUGCAAAAAGUUUUUCAUUGUUUGCAGUAAUACUAUUUUGAACAAUUGAGAUGAAGUACGAGCAUUUAAAUAUGUUUCAAGAAUAGUUUACCAUUCGAAGAAUUAAUGCUUGAUAUAUCUGUUAGAAGAUACAUAAUACAACAAAGAUUAGAUAUUAUUUGUAAUUUCGGAAACAUGUAUAAUGCUCAAUAGUCUACUAAAUACUGCAAUAGCUGAUUGCAGCAGUUAAAGCGCGGACAGUAUGAACUAAAAGAUCAUAUGACAUUGCCAGCCAUCGAGUGUAGCAGUUCUUGUAGAGGAUAGAAAAUACGUAUAUUAUUAUAUGUAAUAUGCAGUUCGAUAUUGCACAUUUUUUAUUACAUAACAUUUUGUGAAUUGAUUACACACAGGUCUAUAAAAACAGAGACAUGAAAAAUACGAAAUAAGCUAGCUUUGAACUUUUAAUUGUACACACCUCAUUGUUAUAAAUAUACCAGAUGUAUCAAGAUUUUUAUGUGAUGCAGUUGUGUAUGGUCACAGGAAAUAAAGGAGCUGUCCUUUAUUUUCAAAUGCUCUGAAACAUAGAAAUACACGAUAGUACAAGAAAAAUAUAAAAAAAUAUUCGAAUAAAGCUAUAUAUAUAGUGUAUUUGUUUAAACAUAAUUAUCUAAGAAUUUAUAUGAAGACAUUACUGUUAAAUCGGUAUGAAUUAUAAAAAUGUAGUUUUUCAAAAGAAAUUUAUUAUGUAAAUUAUCAAAUUUAGUUUCCAGCUAUAGUGUUGCUUAUAAGAUUUUGACUUGAAAUGCAUGCCAUAGUUAUUCAUUAAAAACUACAAUUCAAAAGCGGUGAAAAUUAUAAAAAUGUAUCAAUUUCUAUAAAAUCUUUGCUGGAUAAAAGAGAUAAUAUUUUGCAUCCACGAUAACAAGAUAUAGUUAGAGUACUUAAUGAUAAAAUUGAGUUUUAUUACUUUUACUGUUUUUUACCUAAUGUCUGUGAUAUACUAUGUAAAACUGCAUAUAUGCCGAAAUGAAUUAUUAUUAUGUUAUAACUGUAAAUCAUACAGAUAAGACAGUUAAGUAGUACUAACUGAUAUUUCUAAAUACAAGUUAUUAAAAAUAGAGAGAUUGGCUUACAGAAAUCAAUGUAUUAUUUGACAGAAAUCAAAUAUUAAACGCUCGUUUUAACCUAAAAGUAGCAAUAAAAAGGAGAUAUUUAGUAUGUUUUAGAAAGAAUUCGUUAUUGAUUUCAAUGUGUUUGUAUUUGCAGUAAUAUCUGAUUUUGACGGGAAUGGUUUUCUCAUUCGUAAUAAGGAGUAAUCAAUCUUAAGAUAUGUUAUUAAAUACCAAUUCCCUGACGGUUAUCUUUCUAACUGCAAUUUUGUAGACGUUUUACCUCUGUGUUACUGCUAACAUUUACAUUUAGGACGGUCAAAGGGAAGCAACACUAAUAGAAAUUUAAAUACCAUUAUAUUUGCUAAUGUUUCUCAAUUCUACGUACAUGAUUGCAUUACUUAUUGGAAUAUCUAUAUUCAUAUUUCUGUGAAAAUGUUUAACAUAAUCAUCGGUUGAUUGUAAAUGUCAUUUUAUAUUUAAAAACGCGCACUUCACAUUGACCGUAAUGGUAUCGCAUAUAUUUGUAAAUGUUCAUGUUUGAAUACUAAAGUCGGAAUAUCCCUGCCUAAUUAUUUUCAUCAAGUUGUCAUUUUGUGUUGCUAGGGAAUGAAAAUGAUGUCAAAGCAGUUGUUAUAAUUCUUUUUAUAAGAUUACAUUUUAUUUAAAGUUUAUAAAAUAUUUUCUGCCAAAUCCAAAUGAUUUCGAACAGAAAGGUUCCUUCAUAUUUUGAUAUUGCUUCCGUGGAGUGUAACAGAUCUCGUAGAGAAAACCUUAGGCUUAAAAUAUUUGAUGUAUCAUUUACAAAAUGAGUUCGUUUUAAAGGAAUGUAGAAUAAUCGGUCUUUACUUGUUAUUCUAAAUUUUAUAUAGUCCAAUAAUUUUUAUAUAUAAUGUCUUUCAAUUUACUAUUUUUUACCCAGUCACAAUAUUAACAUAUAAUUUACCCUGUAUUAAGUUGUCAUUUCUUCAUUUUUUGAUAAUUUAUUUAGCAUAAUUACAUAUAACUGUGAAAUACCAGUUGGAGCAAUUAUACAUAUGCAUUUACUGUAGUUUACACAGCAUCACUAAUUUUCUGUGCAAUUACAGGUUGCUGUAUUUUAUUUCAUAGAUAAAUAAAGAAGUUUUGAUAGUAUAUUGAAAUUUACUCUAGUCAUAGAUGGUUUGUAAUUGGAAAAUAACUUUUCUUUUUAAAUAUUUCGAAGUUUUUUGUCUUAUAUAUUUCAACGACAUACAUUUAUGAAACUGUUGAUGCCAAAGCAAAGCAUGGAGCUUCAAUUAUGCAAAUAAUAUUAUUUAAUAUUUUCGUGACGUCAGUGAUAAAUGUAAAAUAAUUACUGUAGUAAUUUGUAUCGUUAUUAUUACUUAUUGUUACAGUUAUAAUGAUAAUGAUGAUAAUGUUGCUGUUGAUGAUGAUAAUGAUGAUGGUUAUGAUAAUAAUGAUAAUUAUAAACUAAUGAUACUAACAAUUAUGAAAAUAAUGAUAGAAAUGGUAAGUGUAAUUAGUUACAGUUCUUAAUAUUAAACCUAUUGAAUUGCAUUUAUUAUGAUUUUCAUUAUCCUAUAACUACUUUUAACCGUAUUUGAAGCAGUUUUAUCGAAUUUGUUAUCUAAAACAUUUUCAUAUUCAUCCACUUAUGUGAUGUGGAUAUCAUGCUAGAUCAAACACAUGAUUAAUAUAUACUUUAAUUGAAAUCUUUUACCCUUUUGUCUGAGAUCAGUCGAAAAAAUAACAUAUUCCAUUUAGUUUAUAAAUCAUUAUACUGUACUUAAGUAAACGUGAGUGUAUUUCAUCUGUAACGCUUUCAUAGAUAUAACAGACAAUUCAUUGACCAACAGUGACGACAAGGAAUGCAGGAUGGAACAUUACUCACGUAGUGUUUAUAAAUAGACAGUCCGGUUCUAUGUACACAGUGUAGAGCACCGAUACACGGCUUUUUUCUCCAGUUGAUAUAGCUAAAGGAAAUACUAUGCAUUUCAGAAAUUCAAUGGUCCAGGCCUUCAAUUGAACCCUGAUUCACUGGAUUUGUAGUCCAAAUGAUAUACUAUUGUAUCAUUUUCCAUGUAUAAGUACGUUGCACAUUAAAGAUUGAGGAGUCAACUAUGCCGAUUAUAAUAUAAUUAAGCAUAUGUAAUUUCUUUGUUUGAAUACUGAAACUUUCGCUUCAGUCCGUACAAACAAAUUUAAAGUUUGAUACUACGUUUUGUAGUUAUAAGAGAAGGGAGAGUACGCAAAAAAGUUAAAUAACCAACAAUUGAGAGGCACAUCCAACAAGUUCUCCCAUGUACAAUCUAAAGCUAGAUAAGCAGCUUUGGAAACACCGGAAUACUAGUAUUAAUUGUAAAAUUAUCAUACAAUUUUGAAGUAAUAAACAUUGAAAUACGUAGAUUUACAGAAAGCGAUUUGUAUUAAGCAAAAUUAUGAACUCGGUAUUAUAAUCUACACAGAGCAAUAGACUUGAACGGAUUAUCAUUAUCUAUGACCAUUCAUUUCUUGUAUUGAAAGGUGUAAAUUUUUAACCUGUUUAUUGAAAUGAUCAGUUUUUUAUUCAGCUAUCUGGAUGGGAACUCUAAAAAGUUAAUUUGUAGAUUCAAGACGCCGCAAUAAUUCUGUGCUGGUACAAACCUUCUUCAGAAUGAACCUCCUGAAGAUUCGUAUAUUUGUAGCAAAUUAAAUUAUAUCUGAAAAGAUAGUCACAAUGAAUUGUUGUAUUUGAUUUGCAUUACGUUUAUGAACGUUUAGAGUAAAGCAUUUCUUUUACAUUGUUGAUGGAAAUCACGUUCAUCCUGUUAGCAAAGUAACAUGAUGUAAUAGUUGAGAUAAUCUUAGUUAUAUUUCCUAAUGACGAUUCUCGAAAACGAAAACAAACUGCUUUCUGUUGCAAUGAGUUUCUUUCUUUCCUGAAGCAAUAUCUUUGAAGCUUAAAGUACCACUGUAUGAAUAUUUGAAACUGAAAACGGUUUUGAAUUCUUUUUAACAACAACAUUGGAAUAAAAGCUAUUGUGAUCCGUACAUUUUGCAGCUUGCACCUAUUUACGCUGACCAUACAGAUUGAGAGAGCUGAACCGACCAUUUUGUUUCUUAAAUCAAGUUAAGACAUUAUUAUAAUAUCUAUUAAUCUGUUUUACAUAUUCAUAUUAAUGUUUAUCAGUUACAUGAUAACGAUCUUUUGCAGUUAUCAAUACAAAUGUAGUGGUAUAAAUGAUUCCCCAAAAUACAAAAGCUUGUUUACCCAAUGUCUUUAUCUUUGAAAUAUUUAGAUUAUUACAUACUAUUUAAACAAUUAAGCGGCCAUUGAAAAUGUCACACAUAUAUAAGAGCGUUCAUCAGUGUAUAAAGCCAGAUAAAGCUUGUUUGGAUAACGCUUCAUAACUCCGCGGUAAUGAUUUUAAAACGUCUAGUAAUUGAAUAUGAAAUACAAAAUUAUCAAUUUGGAUAAUUAACUUUGUUAUACAAAUAUUUUGGAAUUUACAUAACAUUCACAGAAAAAUCAAAUGACUGUCAAAGAUACGUCCCAACCCAUGGCGAAAAGACAAAAGAUUGAGUCGGAUAAAUCCUAUGCAAAAGAUAUGCAAGCAUCGGACAUUUCAAAAGAAGAAAGACCAUCGGAUGAAGAAGUAAUUGGUGUAAUAAUAGCUGCUACACGUACGGAAGACAUUAACACAGUAGACUUUAGCUAUAAUUCUUCCGAUUUUAAAGUAUCACCAGGUGAAGAGCCAUUAUCUGAUUCGGACAUUCCACCAAGACAGAAAAGGGAUAAAAAGAAAAAACAUACGAAAGGAGAAAAGUCAGAGAAGCUUUCAGCAGAUAAAGGACCAACAAAGUGACUCAACAAACAUAAUUGAUCAAACUAAAGUUUAAUUGAAAAUGUUUUAAUGCUUUAUUUGUCAAAAGUUUGUAUCAACAAUGAUCUCAAAAAAAUUGUUGUAAUUAUUGUACUGUAGUGGUUGGUCUGCUAAGCGCCGCUGCUAAGUGCAGAUAAAUGUUGCUUCAAGCUAUUUUUAUUAUUGAUGAUAAUAUAGGUUUAUUGAAUUUUACGCGUAUAAGAGAGAUUCUUGCUUCAAUGAAAAAAGGUGAUUAUUUCAAAGUCAGAUUUUGUCAAAUAUAAGUCCAAUGUGUUAAAAAAAAUCCAACUUAUAUCUUACCUUAAUUAUUUGAGUUAUGUCUAACCUUAAUUGAAAUAUUAGAUUAAGGCAAACAGAAAGUGAGUAGUAUUCUCAUGGCAAUUACAUUUUAUAAACCAGUACAGUAUUACUUCCUUACGCGUAAAUAUACGGUUUUUGUGAUAAAGGAGAGACAACAAUUAUGCAUGAAAAUGCACUAGUUUAGGAAUUUAAAACUUGUGUUAUCAUUAUAUGAUCGAUAAUAUUACUAAUACUUAAAUUUCAGUUCGAAACACUAUGUUCACGUGAUCAUUAUUUAUUGCAGUUUAUGGCAUUUUUAUAUAUGCUACAGAAAAAUAUUAACGAAUAGAUAUACUUAAGAUUAAAAUAAUUAAUUGUAGCAUUCUCUUAUCAUGCAAUAUAUUUUAAUUGGUAAUAAAAAGAAUCCAUGAACAUGUACUUACAUGUCCUAAUGAGCUAAAUGUUGCAAUUCUAAUGUAACAAUUUUCAUAUGAAGGAAAAAAGUUUUCUGUCGAAUAUUAGUAUGUCAUAAGUAUAUCAUACACAAUGAUAAGCUAACAUAAUUUUAGGGAGCACUCAAGUUUGUGCAAUACCAUUCAGUAUUUAAAUAUCAAUUACCAAUUAUCUUUACAAACGUACCAUUACUACUACUUGAACCACAUAAAUUAUGAUAAAUAGUGUGCAAUAUAAUUCGCUACGUAUCAUGUAAAGUGAUACGCCUGUAUAUCAUUUUCUAUUUUACAAAAAAAAAAAAAAAAAAUUAAAGACAAAUCAUUUUUCAAAUGUUUUAUCAUGAAGGCAAAAUGGAUUCCAAAAUACAGAGGAAUUUAUCAUUUUUCUGGUCUAAAACAGUAUUGCUUUACUUUUCUUUAUAUUUCUGAGUAUUUUUUUCAGUUUAUUUAGAUGUAAUUAAUAUAACGUUAUAUCUAGGGAAUGGUAUUGUAUAAAAUGUUUUACACGAAAUUGUGUUUGAUAUUUAAGAUUAGAAAGACCAAACCUUGCAUGUGUGUGCAAUGCUGUAAACAGAUUCAUUUUAAACUUGAAUCAUACACUAUAUUGCUCUAUCGUCAAAAGUUGAAACUAAAUAUAUCAAUGACUGAUAAAUCGUUUGACAUUGUCGUCCAUCGACGGUACUAGUUCUUGAAGAGGACAUGAAAUGUGAAUAUUAUCAUAUGGUAUAUGUAAGCAAACAGUUUAUGUAUUUGUUAAAAAAACUCUACUUAUUUUACACAUUUUUAUGAAAAAAUGUUUGUUUUUAAAGUCUAUCAAAUUUUCUAGUGUUUAAUUUUAAGUUAUAGGCAAUUUUAUGCUAAGUCAAAAACUAUACAUGUAACAGUUUUUCAGAAAGUUUGUAUCACUGUUUGUUUGACUGGUUUAUAGUCAAAAACAAAACAAGAGUUACAAAAUUUUCAACAUAGCAUAAGUUGAAGUGAGACAAUUCAAAAGCAAAUUUAUAGUUUAUGAUUUAAAAUACUUUUUACUGUAUUUAAUUGAUCAGCUCUAUUUGUAAAAUAUGAUAUUCAUCAGUGACAAUUAUCUAAGAAACAUUGUUUUGUUAAAUGACCAAAUUUAUUUUCGAAAUUUGUUGAUGCUAUUAAGUGUUUUAUUUGCAAUAUAUGUCAUGGUUAAUCCCUGAAAAACAGCUACAAUAAAAAGUUAUUGACUCUUUAAAAAUGGGAAAAUGCAAAACAUUUUCUCCGAUCCUGCAUGUUUGAAAAUAUAUCUAUAGUUUAGAGUAAGCAGUAUUCUAUUGAUAUAUCAUGUUAAAUAUUAAUGCAAACGGUACAAAAACAAGCUUUCAUUGAAAACAUAUACUAAUUCAUUUCCUUUAUAUCUUUAAAAGUUGUGUGAACGUUAUUCACAUCGUACAAUCUACACAUGCCAGGUUUGAAGUAAAUUGACACAUGUACAUAAGCACGGCAGUAAGGUUCACCGCCUCAGUAGCCUAGUGGUAAAGCAUCCUUCUCCAGUGCGGAAGGUUGUGGGUUCGCUCACCAGCCGCGUCAUACCACAUAUAUAAAAAUGGUACGAGUAGAUUUCAUCGCAUCAUGCUCAGCAGUAUUCUGGAUAGCUCUAGAGUUAGACAACCCGGUGUCAGCUUAUUGUGACUGGAUGGAAUAUCAUGUCACGUGUCCACGGCGUGAUAUUUCAGUGAGACAGCUGUCACAAAUAGACAUCGUCGUGUAUAUGACUGAAAAAUUGUUGAAAACGACGCUUAACCAAAACACAUGCACACACUUCUGUAAGGUUCAUUUUUCGGGGUGACUGCUUUAUUUGUGUAAUUUGAUACACCACCUUAUAACAACUGACACCUUAUUACAACUGAUAAUAUGUUUAUUUGCAUUUUGUGCAAACCUGUCUCAGUAAAUCUUGUUUUUCUGUAUUUUGAAUAAUUUUUGACAAACUAUAUUCGAUUAAAGGGAAACAACUAAGAUUCAAUUUUGUAUUCCAUAAUAUACCAAAACUAUGAUGUAAAGUUGAUGACAUGAAAAACAAACAAAACAAAAACGGAAGCAAAAUAUUCGGGAAUAUUUGUACAUAAUAUUGUUAUAACCUUUACCAAUGCAAUGUUAAGAAUGUUUCAAUCUAUCAUUGUUUUCUUUAUUUUGAGCUUUUUGUAACAAUAUGUAUGCAGAUAAAGAUAAGCAACUCAAGAAGUAUUAUGUAAAGCAAAAAAUGCAAACGCUUCAAUGCGUAAACAUGUGUUACGAAAUAAUGAUAAACAAAUGAGUCUUACGAAAUUUUGUAUAGCUUAUUAUAUGUUGAAACACUUUAUGGUUAAAAUAAUAAUAGUUUUUGAGAAAUUAUGGACAUUUGUAUGCAUUUCAAAGCUUUUUAUUUUCAUACCUACUUUAAUAGACCUUGUAUACGUGACUAAAACUACAAAACUUGUUCAUAAAGAAUGUUACAAAGCAAAACCAAACUAUUCUAAAAUUACAAUUUAUUCGUUUAUUGUGUUAAGAGAAAGCACAUUUAACACAUGGAAUCUUAUUAUUUUCCCCGUAAAAAGUAUUCUGUCGCAAAAGCUUUUGCAAAUUAUUUAACUUCAGUUUGCUUGUUGAUAUUAACAUUGUAAACAAAUAAAGGGAAGCAAUACUGAUAGAAAUUUGUAUACCAGUGUACUUGCAAAUGUGUCCAAAGUUCAAACAUAAUUGUAUUAUUGCAUUAUGGAAGAUGCAUGUCAACAUUAUAAACAUAAUCAUAAACUAGUUACUUCAAUUCUUUAUUUUUAAAUGUAAACACACGAUCUUUUUAUACAUCAUUAUUUUUAAAAGUAGUUUGAAAAUCAAGUAUUUUGGUGUUUGUACACUGUCGUUUUGAUAUUUCUUUUUCGUAAGGGAGAUGAUGUGUGCUUUUAAGCCAAACAAGUGUAUGAUUUGAAAUGAAGUAAAAGUAUACUUGUAAUGUUAAAUUGAUAUGAAUCUUGGUUUAACAUUUCCGUUUUAUAUUUAUACUGCUUCCAUCGAAUGUAACAACUCUUGAAGAGGAAAACUUAUGAUUGAAUUAUUGUAUCCAUCAUUUUCAAAAUGACUGUUGUUACCUAUUUGGCUGGUUAUUCUUUCAAAUAGAUUCACCGGAACAAUUAUACGCAUGCGCAUACUGUACUGUUAAAAGCAGGCUUUCAAUUUCUGUGCAAAAAUAUGUUAUUGUUACCAAACAUAAACGAUAUAUGCAGAUAUAUUAAGUUUAUUUGAAUCAUGUUAUUGUAUGUUAUAAAGUGACUUGAAACAUAUCUUGAAGUUUGUGUUAUUGUGUGUAUAUUGAACAAGAUAUAAUAAAAAUGAUAAUCAUUA